UCUAGGCUUAUUUAAAAAUGCACAGGGUAC
rnacentral:piRNA from 1 species